GGCCCGGGCUCCAGCUCCGCCGCCGCGUUACCUGAGAAGGGCCGGCACGUCCAACGCUCCGCCCGCCCGCUCGCUCGCCCGCCCGGCCCGCCCUCCCUCCUUCCCACCCUCCCGCUCGGCCAGGGCCGCCCGAGGUCUGUGCCGCGCCUCCCUUCUCCCGCUGGCGGCUUCCCUUACCUUGUGAAAACAAAACAAAACAAAAAAUAUCCUCUCCGCGGCAGCCCCCGCCUCUUCCGUAAGAUGUGACAUGGCGGUCGGCGAGGGGAACUCGGGAAGCCGCCAAAACCCUGCGCCCCUCUGAGCCUAUCCAUGCUAUCGGCGCUCCCCGGGCCCCGCCGCAGUGACCCGGCCCACAGGCCGAAUCAUCGAUUCCUCGGCGCGCGGCCCGGCUUCCCGCCAGCUUCUUCCCCAGCCGCGCGCUCCGAGCGGGGGAGAACCCCCUCCUCGUCCCCUCCCACCCCGGGCGCGCGCCCGCCCGCCUCCUCCCCCCCCCCCGUCGCCGCUCGCGCGCGCGCACACACACACCCCUCCUCCCCUCCCCCAGUGGUUGCGUCCGUGACAUCAUCAUCAUGGCAACAAGAGCUGCAGCCUGGGACCGAGGAGCCCGUGUGAUUCCCGGCGGCGGCGGCCGUGGCGGCAGCAGCAGCGGUACCACCCGACCCGACGAACGCGCGAGGGCUUCUCUCCCGCUGCCUCUCGCCCGGAGCGUCUGAGGAGGCGGCGGCAGCACACAGCCUCCGCAGCCUCCGCGCGCCGCCGCCGCUGCCGCUCGUCCCGGCGUCCGUGCGAGGGGCGGGGGGGAAAAGCCGAACCGAGGAGGAAGGGGAGGAGGCGCCUCUGCGGAGCCCGCCGCCGCCGCUGCUGCCAGGUCGCUGAGUGGAGGGGAGGCGGUGGCGGUGGCGGCGGCGGCGAACAUGUUUUCUGUGCGGAUAGUGACUGCCGACUACUACAUGGCCAGCCCGCUGCCGGGGCUGGAUACCUGCCAAUCCCCGCUCACCCAGCUCCCUGUCAAGAAGGUGCCGGUGGUACGAGUCUUCGGGGCGACCCCGGCAGGUCAGAAGACAUGUCUUCAUCUACAUGGCAUCUUUCCUUACCUCUAUGUGCCAUACGAUGGUUAUGGACAGCAGCCAGAAAGCUAUCUUUCUCAGAUGGCAUUCAGUAUCGACAGAGCACUUAAUGUGGCUUUAGGCAAUCCAUCUUCCACUGCUCAGCAUGUGUUCAAAGUGUCAUUAGUAUCAGGAAUGCCUUUUUAUGGUUAUCAUGAGAAGGAAAGACACUUUAUGAAGAUCUAUCUUUACAAUCCUGCAAUGGUGAAAAGGAUAUGUGAACUUUUGCAAAGCGGAGCCAUAAUGAAUAAAUGUUACCAGCCUCAUGAAGCGCAUAUUCCCUACCUCCUACAGCUCUUCAUUGACUACAAUCUUUAUGGAAUGAAUUUAAUAAACCUGGCUGCUGUCAAGUUCCGAAAAGCAAGAAGGAAAGGUAAUGCAUCACAUGCAACUGGAUUAUUCAAGCAUCAAUUGUCAGGAAAUUCUCCUGCUGGCACUUUAUUUAGGUGGGAAGAGGAUGAAAUACCAAGUUCUUUAUUGUUGGAAGGUGUUGAACCCCUGAGUACAUGUGAACUAGAAGUGGAUGCCGUAGCUGCUGACAUCUUAAAUAGGCUGGACAUUGAGGCUCAGAUUGGUGGAAACCCUGGGCUGCAGGCCAUAUGGGAAGAUGAAAAACAGCGGAGAAGAAACAGGAACGAAAGCUCUCAAAUCAGCCAGCCCGAGUCACAAGAUUGCAGAUUUGUACCAGCAACAGAAAGUGAAAAACAAUUUCAGAAGAGACUUCAAGAAGUUCUCAAACAGAAUGAUUUCUCAGUCAGAACAUUAUCAGGAUCUGUGGACUACAGCAAUGGAUCCCAAGAGUUCUCUGCUGAGUUAACAUUACACUCGGAGAUUCUUUCUCCUGAAAUGCUACCGUGUUCACCAGCUAAUAUGAUAGAAGUCCACAAAGACACAGAUUUGAGCAAAGGUAAUACUAAACAUAAAGUAGAAGAAGCACUUAUUAAUGAAGAAGCAAUUUUGAACCUCAUAGAAAAUAGUCAGACUUUUCAGCCUUUGACUCAAAGACUGAGUGAGACACCAGUUUUCAUGGGCAGUAGUCCUGAUGAGUCGCUGGUCCAUCUUCUUGCUGGUUUGGAAAGUGAUGGAUAUCAAGGAGAAAAGAAUAGGAUGCCAUUACCAUGUCACUCCUUUGGAGAAUCUCAAAACCCCCAAAAUAGUGACGAUGAAGAGAACGAACCCCAGAUUGAGAAGGAGGAGAUGGAGCUUAGUGUGGUGAUGUCCCAGAGAUGGGACAGUGACAUUGAAGAACAUUGUGCCAAAAAGAGGUCACUGUGCAGAAAUGCCCACAGAAGUUCUACCGAAGAAGAUGACUCGUCCUCAGAAGAGGAAAUGGAGUGGACCGAUAAUAGUUUGCUUUUUGCCAAUCUCUCUAUACCUCAGUUAGAUGGAACUGCAGAUGAAAAUAGUGACAAUCCAUUAAACAAUGAAAAUUCUAGAGCCCACUCUUCUGUGAUUGCAACGAGCAAGCUAUCAGUAAGACCCUCCAUCUUUCACAAAGAUGCUGCUACAUUAGAACCUCCGUCUUCUGCUAAGAUUACCUUUCAGUGUAAACACACAAGUGCCCUUUCUUCCCAUGUUUUAAACAAAGAUGGUUUAACUGAAGACCUUUCACAACCAAACAGUACAGAAAAAGGUCGAGAUAAUUCAGUCACUUUUACAAAGGAAAGUACUUACUCCAUGAAGUACUCUGGCUCUUUAAGUAGUACUGUUCAUUCAGAUAAUUCCCACAAAGAGAUUUGUAAGAAAGACAAGUCUUUGCCGGUAUCUUCCUGUGAAAGUAGUGUUUUUGAUUAUGAAGAAGAUAUUCCAUCUGUUACAAGACAAGUACCAAGUAGAAAGUACUCGAACAUGAGAAAGAUUGAAAAGGAUGCCUCUUGCAUACAUGUGAACCGUCACAUUAGUGAGACUAUAUUGGGGAAAAACUCUUUCAACUUUGCUGACUUAAAUCAUUCAAAACGUAAAUUAUCCUCUGAAGGAAACGAAAAGGGAAACAGCACAUCUCUCAGUGGUGUAUUUCCCUCUUCGCUAACGGAAAACUGUGACUUGCUGCCGUCUUCGGGGGAGAACAGAAGUAUGGCCCAUUCUCUUGAGAGCAUCACUGAUGAGAGUGGACUAAACAAACUUAAAAUCAGAUACGAAGAAUUCCAAGAGCAUAAGAUGGAAAAGCCAAGUCUCAGCCAGCAAGCAGCACAUUAUAUGUUUUUCCCCAGUGUUGUUCUUUCUAAUUGUCUCACUAGGCCACAGAAACUUUCUCCUGUCACAUACAAAUUACAAUCUGGCAAUAAACCUUCCAGGUUAAAAUUGAAUAAAAAGAAAUUAAUAGGUCUUCAGGAAACUUCUACCAAAAGUACUGAAACUGGAGCCACAAAAGACAGCUGUACACAUAACGAUCUGUACACUGGUGCUUCCGAAAAGGAGAAUGGAUUGAGUAGUGACUCAGCUAAAGCUACUCAUGGGACCUUUGAAAAUAAACCACCUACAGAACAUUUUAUAGACUGUCACUUUGGAGAUGGGUCGUUAGAAGCUGAGCAGUCUUUUGGACUAUAUGGAAAUAAAUAUACUCUGAGAGCCAAACGCAAGGUGAAUUAUGAAACAGAAGAUAGUGAGUCAAGUUUUGUAACACAGAACUCAAAAAUUAGCCUACCUCAUCCCAUGGAAAUCGGUGAAAAUUUAGAUGGAACUCUCAAAUCCCGAAAACGAAGAAAAAUGUCUAAAAAGUUGCCCCCUGUCAUUAUAAAGUAUAUUAUUAUUAAUAGAUUUAGAGGGAGAAAAAAUAUGCUUGUGAAACUAGGUAAAAUAGAUUCUAAAGAAAAACAAGUAAUAUUAACUGAGGAAAAAAUGGAACUUUAUAAAAAGCUUGCACCUUUGAAGGAUUUCUGGCCAAAAGUUCCUGACUCCCCUGCAACCAAAUAUCCCAUUUAUCCACUAACACCAAAGAAGAGUCACAGAAGGAAGUCAAAACAUAAAUCUGCUAAGAAAAAACCUGGUAAGCAACACAGAACAAACAGUGAAAAUAUUAAAAGAACUUUAUCUUUCCGAAAGAAGCGGACACAUGCUGUCCUUUCUCCUCCCUCCCCAUCAUACAUUGCUGAAACCGAAGACUGUGACUUGAGUUAUAGUGACGUUAUGUCAAAGCUAGGCUUUCUUUCUGAGAGAAGCACAAGCCCUAUCAAUUCCUCUCCACCACGCUGCUGGUCUCCCACAGACCCGAGAGCUGAAGAAAUUAUGGCUGCUGCAGAAAAGGAAUCGAUGCUUUUUAAGGGUCCUAAUGUAUAUAACACUAAGACUGUUAGUCCUCGGGUAGGAAAAGCUAGUCGAGCAAGAGCACAGGUUAAGAAGUCAAAAGCAAGACUUGCUAACUCCUCUGUAGUUACUAACAAAAGAAACAAACGGAAUCAGACAACUAAACUAGUGGAUGAUGGAAAGAAGAAACCAAGAGCAAAGCAGAAACAGAGAGCCAAUGAGAAAAGUCUGUCAAGGAAACAUGCAAUACCUGCGGACGAAAAGAUGAAACCGCACUCUGAGGCUGAGCUCACACCGAACCACCAGAGUGUGUCUGAGCUCACAAGUAGUUCUGGCGCUCAAGCACUUUCUAAACAGAAAGAGAUGUCACAGACAGGCCCUGCCGUGGAUCACCCUCUUCCUCCUGCCCAACCCACUGGAAUUAGUGCACAACAGCGGCUGUCUAACUGCUUUUCCUCAUUCUUAGAAAGCAAGAAGUCUGUAGAUUUGCGAACAUUCCCCAGUUCGAGAGAUGAUUCACAUUCUUCUGUUGUUUAUAGUUCUAUAGGGCCCGGAAUCUCAAAAAUUAAUAUUCAGAGAUCUCAUAAUCAAAGUGCUAUGUUUACUCGAAAGGAAACAACCUUGAUUCAAAAAAGCAUAUUUGACCUUUCUAACCAUUUGUCUCAGGUAGCACAGAGUACACAGGUAUGUUCAGGUAUAAUAUCUCCAAAGACAGAGGAGAGCUCAAGUACACAAAAAAACUGUGGGUCAUCUAUGGGAAAGUUAAAUGAGUAUCGCAGUUCCCUAGAAUCAAAGCCAGAACAAGUCUGUGCCCCUAAUUUUUUGCACUGCAAAGACAGUCAGCAGCAGACUGUGAGUGUGUCAGAACAAUCAAAAACCAGUGAAACUUGUUCUCCAGGGAAUGCAGCUUCUGAGGAGAGCCAGACACCUAAUUGUUUUGUCACUUCUUUGAAAAGUCCCAUCAAACAAAUAGCAUGGGAGCAAAAACAGAGGGGCUUUAUUUUAGAUAUGUCUAAUUUUAAGCCUGAAAAGGUAAAACAAAGGUCAUUGUCAGAAGCAAUUUCACAAACCAAAGCGCUGUCUCAAUGUAAGAAUCAAAAUGUAUCAACACCUUCAGUAUUUGGUGAAGGACAAUCUGGGCUAGCUGUUCUAAAAGAAUUGUUACAAAAAAGACAACAGAAAGCACAAAGUACAAAUGUCGUACAAGACUCAACGUCUACUCAUCAGCCAGAUAAGAAUAUUUCUGUUUCUAAUGAGCAUAAGAAAGCAAAUAAACGAACACGACCAGUGACUUCUCCAAGAAAACCUCGAACUCCCAGAAGAACAAAACCUAAGGAACAAACCCCCAGACGUCUAAAAGUAGACCCUCUAAACCUGCAGACCUCUGGCCACUUGGAUAAUUCCCUAUCAGAUGACAGUCCCAUCCUUUUCUCAGAUCCAGGUUUUGAAAGUUGUUAUUCACUUGAAGAUAGCCUGUCUCCUGAACAUAAUUAUAAUUUUGAUAUUAACACAAUUGGCCAGACUGGAUUUUGUAGCUUUUACUCUGGUAGUCAGUUUGUUCCAGCUGAUCAGAAUUUGCCGCAGAAGUUUCUGAGCGAUGCUGUUCAGGAUCUUUUUCCAGGACAAGCUAUAGACAAGAGUGAGCUGCUAAGUCACGACAGACAGAGUUGUAGUGAGGAAAAGCACCAUGUCUCCGACUCCAGCCCAUGGAUCAGAGCCAGUACUUUAAACCCCGAACUUUUUGAGAAAGUAGCUAUGGAUAACAAUGAGAAUCAUCGGCACAGCCAGUGGAAAAAUAGCUUUCAUCCUCUGACAUCUCAUUCUAACUCAAUAAUGGAAUCUUUCUGUGUCCAGCAAGCAGAGAACUGUCUAACAGAAAAAUCAAGACUGAAUAGGAGUUCAGUGAGUAAGGAAGUGUUUCUCAGUCUCCCACAGGCAAACAGUUCAGACUGGAUUCAAGGUCAUAACCGCAAAGAAGCAGAUCAGUCUCUCCACUCUGCUAAUACCUCUUUUACUACCAUACUUUCCUCCCCUGAUGGGGAACUUGUGGACGCAGCUUCGGAAGAUUUAGAAUUGUAUGUCUCAAGGAACAAUGAUGUGUUGACACCAACUCCUGAUAGUUCACCAAGGUCUACCAGUUCUCCCUUACAGUCUAAAAAUGGCAGUUUUACUCCUCGAACUGCUCAUAUUCUGAAACCACUUAUGUCCCCACCAAGUAGGGAAGAAAUUGUGGCAACUUUGCUAGAUCAUGAUCUUUCAGAAGCUAUAUAUCAGGAACCAUUUUGCAGUAAUCCUUCGGAUGUGCCAGAAAAGCCCAGGGAAAUUGGUGGCCGGCUCCUAAUGGUGGAAACUCGACUUCCAAACGACCUGAUUGAAUUUGAAGGAGACUUUUCCUUGGAAGGACUUCGCCUGUGGAAAACAGCAUUCUCAGCAAUGACUCAGAAUCCCAGACCAGGGUCCCCACUUCGUAAUGGCCAAGCAGUUGUCAAUAAAGAGUCAAGUAAUAGCCAUAAGAUGGUAGAAGAUAAAAAAAUUGUAAUUAUGCCUUGCAAGUAUGCUCCAAGUCGGCAACUGGUUCAAGCAUGGCUUCAAGCCAAAGAAGAAUAUGAACGUUCAAAGAAACUCCCUAAAACCGAGUUAACUCCAGUGACAAAAUCUGCUGAAAAUGUCAGCCCUUCACUUAAUCCAGGUGACACAUGUGCAGUCUCUCCACAAGUGGAUAAAUGCCCACAUACACUUUCUUCUUCUGCACAUACCAAGGAAGAAGUCAGUAAGUCUCAAAUUGCUUUGCAAACAUCAACUACAGGAUGCAGUCAGACACUGCUAGCAGCUGCCUCUGCAGCUGUCCCUGAGGAAGAUGAAGAUGAUAAUGAUAACUGUUAUGUUAGUUACAGCUCCCCUGAUUCUCCAGGUAUUCCACCUUGGCAGCAGGCAGCAUCCCCAGACUUCAGAUCAUUAAACGGGGAUGACAGACAUUCAUCACCAGGAAAGGAGCUUUGCUCCCUAGCUGUUGAGAACUUCUUAAAGCCAAUAAAAGAUGGUAUCCAAAAAAGCUCCUGCUCUGAAUCGUGGGAGCCUCAAGUGAUCUCUCCAAUCCAUGCUAGGGCAAGAACUGGGAAGUGGGAUCCACUUUGCCUUCAUAGCACACCAGUUAUGCAGAGGAAAUUCCUGGAAAAGCUUCCUGAAGCAACUGGCCUUAGCCCUUUAUCUGUAGAACCAAAAACCCAGAAGUUGUAUAAUAAGAAAGGAAGUGAUGCUGAUGGUCUCAGGAGAGUUCUCCUGACAACGCAAGUGGAGAAUCAGUUUGCGGCAGUAAAUACUCCAAAGAAAGAAACUUCUCAGAUUGAUGGACCGUCCUUAAACAAUACCUACGGUUUCAAAGUCAGCAUACAGAACUUACAGGAGGCAAAGGCUUUACACGAGAUACAAAAUCUGACCUUAAUCAGUGUGGAGUUACAUGCUCGAACUAGAAGAGACUUACAACCAGAUCCUGAGUUUGACCCAAUCUGUGCUUUGUUCUACUGCAUUUCAUCUGACACUCCACUCCCAGACACAGAAAAAACAGAACUCACGGGUGUAAUCGUAAUUGAUAAGGACAAGACAGUCACCCAUCAAGAUAUUAGAAGUCAGACCCCGUUACUUAUCAGAUCUGGAAUUACAGGAUUAGAAGUAACCUACGCUGCUGAUGAGAAGGCUCUCUUUCAGGAGAUUACAAAUAUAAUAAAGAGGUAUGACCCUGACAUUCUGCUAGGCUAUGAGAUUCAGAUGCACUCCUGGGGCUACCUCUUACAGAGGGCGGCUGCUCUGAGCGUGGACUUAUGUCAGAUGAUCUCUCGAGUGCCGGAUGACAAAAUUGAAAACAGAUUUGCAGCAGAAAGAGAUGACUAUGGAUCAGAUACAAUGAGUGAAAUCAAUAUUGUUGGAAGAAUUACCCUGAACCUUUGGAGAAUAAUGAGAAAUGAGGUUGCCCUGACUAACUACACUUUUGAAAAUGUGAGCUUUCAUGUUCUCCAUCAGCGUUUCCCCCUUUUUACCUUCCGAGUCUUGUCGGACUGGUUUGAUAAUAAGACAGAUCUCUACAGAUGGAAAAUGGUUGAUCAUUAUGUCAGCCGUGUCCGUGGAAAUCUCCAGAUGUUAGAACAGCUGGACCUAAUUGGGAAAACCAGUGAAAUGGCCAGACUUUUUGGCAUUCAGUUUUUACAUGUAUUAACAAGAGGUUCACAGUACCGUGUGGAGUCAAUGAUGUUGCGUAUUGCCAAACCAAUGAACUAUAUUCCUGUGACACCUAGUAUUCAACAGAGAUCCCAAAUGAGAGCCCCACAGUGUGUUCCCCUCAUUAUGGAGCCUGAGUCUCGUUUCUAUAGCAACUCUGUUCUUGUUCUGGAUUUCCAGUCACUAUAUCCUUCAAUUGUGAUAGCAUAUAACUACUGCUUUUCCACUUGCCUUGGCCAUGUAGAGAAUUUGGGAAAGUAUGAUGAGUUCAAAUUUGGCUGUACCUCUCUAAGAGUACCUCCAGAUUUACUUUAUCAAAUUAGGCAUGACGUCACAGUGUCCCCCAAUGGAGUAGCUUUCGUCAAGAUUGCUAAUAAAUGUAGGCCGGAGGGGAUGGCUUAGUGCUCUAAGCAUCAGAUUUGAAAUACCUAGAGUCCCUGGAACUGCAGGUUUGAAUGUCAGCAGAGUCAACCCAGCUCAUCACUCUUCCAAGCCUUCUGUACGAAAGGGUGUUCUACCAAGAAUGCUUGAAGAAAUUUUGAAGACUAGAUUGAUGGUGAAGCAGUCAAUGAAGUCUUACAAGCAGGACAGAGCCCUGUCACGGAUGCUCAAUGCCCGUCAACUAGGACUAAAGCUGAUAGCAAAUGUCACGUUUGGCUAUACGGCUGCUAAUUUUUCUGGGAGAAUGCCGUGCAUUGAGGUUGGUGAUAGCAUUGUUCACAAAGCCAGAGAGACCUUGGAACGAGCAAUUAAACUAGUGAAUGAUACCAAGAAAUGGGGUGCUAGGGUUGUUUAUGGUGAUACUGACAGUAUGUUUGUACUACUGAAAGGAGCCACCAAGGAGCAGUCUUUUAAGAUUGGUCAAGAAAUUGCUGAAGCUGUUACUGCUACUAAUCCUAGGCCAGUGAAACUGAAGUUUGAAAAGGUGUAUUUGCCCUGUGUUUUGCAAACAAAAAAGAGAUAUGUGGGCUACAUGUAUGAAACGCUGGAUCAGAAGGAGCCAGUAUUUGAUGCGAAAGGAAUAGAAACAGUCAGAAGAGACUCUUGCCCUGCUGUCUCUAAGAUACUUGAGCGUUCUCUAAAGCUGCUGUUCGAAACAAGAGAUAUUAGUCUAAUUAAACAGUAUGUACAGCGACAAUGUAUGAAACUUGUGGAAGGGAAGGCCAGCAUCCAAGAUUUUAUCUUUGCUAAAGAGUACAGAGGAAGUUUUUCUUACAGGCCUGGAGCCUGUGUUCCAGCCCUUGAACUUACAAGGAAAAUGCUUGCUUAUGAUCGGCGCUCUGAGCCUCGAGUUGGAGAACGAGUGCCAUAUGUCAUCAUUUAUGGGACCCCUGGACUACCCCUUAUCCAGUUGAUAAGGCGCCCAGCAGAAGUCUUACAGGAUCCCACUCUGAGGCUGAAUGCCACUUACUAUAUCACCAAACAAAUUCUUCCACCCCUGGCCAGAAUCUUCUCUCUUAUUGGUAUUGAUGUCUUCAGCUGGUAUCAAGAAUUACCAAGGAUCCAGAAAGCUACCAGCUCCUCCAGAAGUGAACUUGAAGGGCGGAAAGGCACUAUCUCUCAGUAUUUCACUACUUUGCACUGUCCUGUGUGUGAUGACCUGACUCAGCAUGGUAUCUGUAGUAAAUGUCGGAGCCAACCUCAGCAUGUAGCAAUCAUCCUCAACCAAGAAAUUCGAGAAUUGGAGCGUAAACAGGAGCAGCUUAUAAAGAUAUGCAGGAACUGUACAGGUUCCUUUGACCGACAUAUCCCGUGUGUUUCCCUCAACUGCCCGGUACUUUUCAAACUCUCACGAGUAAACAGAGAAUUAUCCAAGGCCCCGUACCUGCGACAGUUACUGGACCAGUUUUAAGUUAGCAGUGUCACAGAAUUCCAGGUGCUCUCUGCUCAGUGUUUACCACUCAGUUCCUCUGCAUGGUGCUUUCUCAACCUCCAUCAAGUCAAAGAUGUUCACUGUCUGUCUGCCAUCCAAGACUAUGAAGAUUUCUGCUAACGGGAUUAAAAAGGAUACAUGCUGCUCUCUGGAUAGCUUACUUCUUACAAUGUACAAAUUCCGCAUCAUUUCACCUUUGAACAUUGUUUUAUAAUAAUACAGGUGUUGGAUUUGCUCCAGUUUAUGUACCAUCUUGUAAAUCCAUUUGAACAGAUCAUGUUUACUUCCCUGUGGAAGGAACACUGAAAACCUCUUAAAGUCAUUCGUGUGUAUUCCUUAAACUGUCUGUAUCAGGAUGUGUUGCUUAGAGAUAUCCACUCACUUUAUAAUUUUGACUGCAAAAUAUUUUGUAAAUACACUUUUUUACUUUUCAAAUAACUGAGUAAAAUAAUGUGCAAUGAAUUUUAUACAAUGAUUUUCACGUUGUUGGUAUAUCUCCUCUAGGUUUUGCUUGACUCAAAGGUAGAUUUGUUACUUUGAUCAAACUGUGCAAAUAGUACCAUGUGUAGCAUUUUUGAAACAUUCUUUUCUAAAGACCGCUGUCUUGCUAUAGCUACUAACGGGGCAUUGUGAGGAACUGUGCAAAGACAUUUUUGUUACAAACCUGUGGGCCUGUUGCAAUACUUUAAAAAUAAAAUAAAAAAAUUUAUUCCAUUUUGCUUGUUUUGUAUAGACAUUUCUAUUGCUUCUAAAUAUGCUUAAAAUAUUUUCUUUCCUUAUGUACUGUACAGUUAAUCUUAUUUGCCAUCCCUUGAACACAAAUGUGUAUUUAGGAUAUUUGUAUAACUGUAUAAAAUGAAAAAGGAAUUAUGUGGUCAGUGCAUUGUUUUUUAAACUGGAAAUCCUUUUGUUUUGAGAGUUAAUAAUGGAAACCAAAUUAAAAAUUGAAUAAAAUAUGAAAUACA